rnacentral:lncRNA from 1 species
AAAAGAAAAAGAAGUCCAAGGAGAGCGAGGAGCCUGCUGUGGCUGCCGCCGAAGGCGAGAAGAAGAAGAAAAAGAAGAAAUCUGAUGUGGAUGGUGAGGAUGUUGUACUGCAAACUGCAGAGUCUGGUAAGAAAGACAAGAAGAAAAAGAAGAAGAAGCACGCUGAUGAUGAGUGAGGCAUUCACCGGAGAAGGGAGAGCCAAGGUGCCCAAGGUUGGGACUUGCUGUUCUGUAAAAUGGAUAUUACAGGCUAGUAACCAUGUUGAGAUUUAGUUUUUUUUUUGGAACCCCGGUUUUCAAGUACUAGCUCGAUCUGGACGAUCGAUGAAAUUUAAAUUUUGGUGCCGCUGUCUCAAAUUACCAUGAUUGUUUAUGAAUCCAGAUUGGUAACUAAGGUAGCUGAGAGAUCCUUGAGUUUGUACGAUAGUUUGCGCACCUCAUCAGAUUGAGAUUGUACGAUAGUUUGCGCGCCCCAUCAGAUUUGCGUUGGUAGUUUGCUGGAGGGACGCGGGUUUCUAUUGCCUGACAACCGGCAUCCCUGGAACUCUGGAAGGCUGUAACAGUUUGAAGUAUUGUUCGCAGCAACAGCCUUGGUCAGUUGGUCUACAGCUGCUUGGCAACAGUUAUCAUGUUUAGCAUGUGUUGUGCUAGAAGCGCAACACUGGUAGCAAACCUCCUACAUGGUGUCCGAGAUAAUGUACCUAAACUCCAACUUGUGGUCGAUUCGAAUCAACAAAGAAUCAACCAAAGAAAAGUUGGAAACUACCAUGCAUACCACUUACACCAUUAUAAUCCCGGCCAUUGCUGAGGAGCAGAGCAUCAGUUGGUGAAUAAUUCCUCAAUGUACCCAGUUCAGCAGGGUGCCUUUUUCUGGUGAAGCACAGCGGCAGUUGGUCCGAAAAGGUUGCAUCAGCUGUUGCUGUCCAAGAGCUGGUGACACCAACAAACGAACAGGAAGAUAGAUGCUCGUGGUUCGCCUGUGACCUGCUCGGAAGUCUCUCGGGUAGGACUUCUCCAGUUCUCCUGUGGCCUAAUUCCAUAGAUGUGGCUUCCUGGGAAGUCUCUCCGGUAGGACUUCUCUAGUUCUGUUUACAUGACAGGGAACUGAUCAGGGGGUAGGCACUGUCAUGAAAUGGUCUCUUGACUCAAUUAGUUCUAGUUAUUAAUCUUCGGAGUGGAAGAAGGACGGAGACUCUCGAAUGAUAGACAAUUGCUCUAGUGAAUAACUCAAAAAAUAGAAGAACAUUAGAUGGUAAAGGAAAGAUCAAUAUAUGUUCAAGGAAAAGUUUAAAGUGUCCUCAAUGACUGCAACUUCUAUUAUUAGCCUAGUGGUUAGAGCACAUGAGUAGCAGUAAGUUUAGAUUCAACUCCCUAUGGAGCAAAUCAAAGGGUCUGAUUUUUUUUUUAAAAAAAGGCUCCAUCGCUGAGCAAACUACCUUCAUUUGAUGGCGCAAGUAGGGCUGCCUAGGUGGGUAGAACGGUGGUUCUUUGAUCACCAAGUCCCCACCUGGACCUAUGUCGUCGGCGACCUAGCCACUAAUAGUCUCAAUGCUACCUUCUAUUAUCAUCGGGUUGCCCGACUUGCUCAAGCAUUACUCACGUGGAACAAACACCUCCCCUUGGUGGCUGUAUUUCCUCGGUAGUCUAGUUUUUUCGAGUAUGCAUGUGCUUCUUUGAUUGGAAUAUCCUACAUUCUAAGUUCCCUCUUGUCCACACCACUGGCGCACCUUACUGCUGACAUCUUCGGUAGUUCUUUGGUCGCCAAGCCGACAUAGCCCUAUGUCAUCAUUGAUCCUAGCUACUAGUGGUCUCCCAACCUUCGUGGAUGAUGAUGCUACGUGCUAUCACCAUUAGGUUGGCCAACUCACUUAGAGGAUGUUUGGGUACGAGGUGCUAAACUUUAGGAGGGUCACAUUGGAUGUUCGGAUGCUAAUCAGGAGGACUAAACAUGAGUUAAUUAUAAAACUAACUGCAGAACCCCUAUACUAAUUCGCGAGACGAAUCUAUUAAGCCUAAUUAAUCCAUCAUUAGCACAUGGUUACUGUAGCAGCACAUUGUCAAAUCAUGGACUAAUUAGACUUAAUAGAUUCGUCUCGCGAAUUAGACUCCAUCUAUGCAAUUAGUUUUGUAAUUAGACUAUAUUUAAUACUCCUAAUUAGUAUCAAACAUCCGAUGUGACAGGUACUAAAGUUUAGGGGUGUAUCACACCCUUAAGCAUUUCUCUUGCGCCACUGUUUUUAUUAUCCAACUCUAAAAGAGGUUCGAAGAUGGCAAUAAUGAAGAUAGAAUGUAGAAAUAAUAAAAUUUUGAUUAUUUUGUUUCAUAAGAAAGUGAAAAAUUAUAUACUCAAAACAAAUGAUCAAGAGCUUAGCUACGAUCGUUUUCAUGUCCUUUCCCUAUGCCUUUUAUUAAUGGGGUUUUCUCUUAUUUCUUCUUUACCUUUUACCUUUUAGUACUUGAAUUCUGAGUGACUGGUUCCUGUACCAGGGGUACCCUCAGCAAUGGGCUUAGGACGAUCAGGCACCAAAAGGCUAAAUGCCCAACAGUUGGAAGCAUCCUGGAAACGGCUCAGACGAUGUUGCGGCCCACCACCCGACCUCCCUUGGUCGGAAGCCAAGAGCCAUCACUCGCCGGCUUAGCCAGCUCGGGGGCGGGGCCCGCAAGGGGCCCAUAGCGCCUCACCUACUCCUUGACUCAGGAAGAACUACACCGUACGAGAGGCAUUAAAUGCGGGCGUGACCCUCCGGACCACCCCACGCAGGAGACAUGACCGAACGAAGGGAGCCGGCCUUUAACCAGGAGGUCCGAGGGUAAGGCUACACCCUUCGGACCACCCAGGACGGCCUGCAGGACGAGGCCAUGUGCGGCCGUACGCGCCCACAUGCCCCGUCAUCAUCUUCGCUGUCAAGGAGACCCGUCAAGAUCAAGGUCAUGCCACCGCGCCAGACCCAGUAUGAUCCCGCAGGCGAGGUGGGACCCAGCGACAGACAUCACGGUGAGGAGCGGCCGUAAGCGCACUAAAGAGGUCGGGAAAAGCCAGGACGAGCGGCACACCCCGUCCAGCCACUAAUCAAGGUUCGCCCAUUCAUCAGCAGUACAGACGACAGCAACAGUUCCUGUCUCGUUCACCGCAUGGAGUUGGUGGACGGGACGGGAGCACGCCACAGAGCAGGCUGGGCCGUGCAUAAGUAGCCCAUGCUGCAUAGGAGCCAUUGUACAAGACAUGCUAGACCCUCGACCAGCCAAGGGGAUAGGACAGGGAAGCCUCUUGGUGCAAGGAAAACCUGACCACGCAGCAACCCUCGACCUCUGAGGUCAGGACCCCCUCCAUUUCUCAACGUUGUUACCCGAUCCCUAGCCUAUAUAAAGGGAACCGGGCCUCCAUUCACUAUCUCUCGAAUUCAACACAUACACCCACACAUCGCACAAACGCUUGCUUGCAAGCACCCUGUUGUAAGUCCAGUGCACUUGAUCUAAGGAACAUGACUCCUGCCGAAACUAGACAUAUGGAUCUUCCCGAACCAGUAUAACUCCUUAUCUCUUGUGUGCUAGUCAUCGGAAGUGAGGAGAGCGCGGCGUAUAAUCAGUAGUCGACGGAACGAAACACCGACAGUUGGCGCGCCCAGUAGGGGUAGUCGCACAUCCCUUGCUAGCUUUUGAUGGCCUCCUUCAGUCGUAGCGCUGGGGUGGCACCGCCCCGGGUGACACCAUUCGUUUCGGGAGCCUCGAGUUUGCUGUCAAUACUGUGUCGAGUUGCAGCUCGUCUCCAGUUUUCUUCCGACCCAGGCAUUCCAUUUUAGAAGCCUAUACUUCGUCGUCGACCAGCUAUGUCACCUACACCUCCUCGAGGAGGGGUUCCCUAUCCAGCCUGAGCUGGAGGGGGUGCCACCAAGUGGCGCCUCCACCGCAUUGCCCAUCAAUGGUGACACCUUAGCGCGUCAGAUCGAUGUACACCUCGGGGCGGACCUCGAGCCCAAGGCCUGCCAGUGCACCUUCUAUGCACUACCCAACAUCUUCACCUAACUCUCGGGGGAGGCCCCCCGGAGAGUGAGUUCUGGGACCCUACGGUUCAGCUACUGUAUGGUCUCCGGGACACAGCCUAGCUCUUCCAGAUGGACCUUGAGCACAGGCUCUGCCCUAACCCCACAAACCACACGAUCAUGGGUGCGGCGGAGUACGCGCCGACGUCCUUCCACGACCUCAUGGAGAUCCACUCCAGGAGCAGCUCCUCAUCGGAGGUGGACCUCAUCCACCAUGAUAACAUGUUGAGGAAGUGCUUCAUGGUGGAGCUCGCUGAGCAUACCCCUUCUGACAGGCAGCAUGCGCAGCCGAUCCAGCGCACGCCGGAGGAGAGCGAGGUGUACCUUUGCAAAAAAGUGGAACGCCUUGCCGCCGAAGCAGCGGAGCUCGACAGCAAGCACACCUAGCUGGAGCACGAGCGCGUCAAGCUCGGCAAGCAGCAUGGAGAACAGGAGGCCGGAGCGGCCUGCGACCGUUCCCGUCAUGUGCAUGAGCAAAUUAUGCAUGACGAAGACGGAGUCCACCGCUUCGUUCAUGCCAGCCAAAACAUAGCCGCCACGGCAAUGAUUCUGCGCUCAAUCCCUGAGCUGCAGGACCCCGAGAGCUUGCACAUCCAUUGCGAGCUUAAGGGUUUGCUCGAGACCACGGCGGUCCAGCAAGCGGAGAGCUCCCUCCAAUGGAGACAAUAAGCUAGAAGCAGCCACCGAGCAUGUAGCGUGGGCGGCCUGUAGGGUUCCCAUGUGCCCAUCGCACCCGUAGGUGCCCAGUAGGAAGCUGGCCAACCCGCAGCAGGGGCGUUAGCACCACGACGCCCUGCGGCCUCGACGCACGCCGCACGAUCCAGGCACGGCGCCGCGAAUGCGUGGAGUCCGACAGAUAGUGUCAUCACAACAGCGACGACCACCGCGACCGAUACUACGAGCGCUCCUGCUAUCCGACCCUGGAUGACCCGAGCCCGAAGGCGUUUGGGAGGAGGAUACACUCCAUGCCCUUCCUUGAGCGCUUCCAUGCCCCGACCAACAUCAGCAAGUACGCUGGGGACACAAACCCCAGCGUCUGGCUGGAGGAUUACUGGCUCGCCUGCUAAGCCGAUGGCGCCAACGAUGAUGACUUCAUCAUCAAGUACCUGUUGAUCUGCCUCACAAUUCGGCUCGGGCUUGGCUCAAAUAUCUCUAGCCGGACUGCAUCCACAGCUGGUCCGACCUCCGCCGGAUUUUCAUCGGCAACUUCAAGGGUACGUACAACAGACCCGGCAACUCUUGGGACCUCAAGAGCUGCAAGCAGAAGCAGGGGGAAAAGCUCUGCGAAUACAUCUACUAUUUCUCCCGGUAAUGCAACGAGCUACCCGACGUGGUUUAGGCCGACAUGAUCGGGGCAUUUAUCUUGGGGACCACCAGCGAGACCCUCGUCCACAAGCUCGGGUGCGCCAAGCCCCGCUCCAGCAAGGAGCUGCUGGACAUCGCCACCAACCACGCCUUUGAAGAGGAGGUGGUGGUCGGAUCUUAUAUAAGGGGAAGGGUGCCAUCAGGCAUGAUGGCGAGGGAGGAGGUGGCCCCUCCUGCCAUGACGACAAGAAAAAGAAGAACAAGGAGCGCCACGAGGGUAAGCUCGUGACAACCACCGACCACCCCGGCAAGUAGCAGAAGGGGGGAAGCCUACCCCCGACCAUUUUGAGAAUAUGCUUGAGGGAUCGUGCCCGAACCAUGGCUACCUUGUGAAGCACCUCUACAAGGACUGCGACCUCAUGAAGCGCUACCUGAGGGGCGACCUCAAGGUCGGCGCUAAGGGGAAGCAUCCACCUGAUGUCGACGUCAACGCCGGGGAGGAGGAAACCUCAUGAUCUUCAGUGGCUUGGACUUCUUCGGGAGUUGCAAGAGGAAGAACACGGCUAGGCAAGUAUUAAGUGCUGAUCCCGUCGUCCCGACCUUCCUUAAGUGGUCGGAUAUAGCGAUUAUCUUUGACAGGAUGGAUUACCCCGACCACAUAGGGGUGCUUGGGAGGCUUCCUCUCUUGGUGGCCCCGAUCAUCACCAAUUCUUGCCUGUCCAAGGUCCUCAUGGACGGGGGCUCCAUCCUCAACAUCAUGUACAUAGCCAUCCUGGACGAGAUGAAGAUCCCGAGGUCGGAGCUCCAACCAACUGGGGCACCCUUCCACAGGGUCAUCGUGGGGAAGCAGGCGGUUCCGCUAGGGCGGAUUGACAUGCCCGUCACAUUUAGCACCCGCGCCAACUUAUGCACUGAGAUCCUCACCUUUGAAGUGGUCGACUUCGAAGGGUCCUACCACGCGAUCUUCGGAAGGCCAUGCUACGUCAAGUUUAUGGUGACCCCGAACUACACCUACCUCAAGCUCAAAAUUCCCAAGCCCCACGGCGUGAUCACGAUCAGCGCCAACCACGAGUUCACACUCCUUUGCGAUGUGAAGAAUUGUAAGCUAGCGACGCAUACCAUCCGCUCCCUCGAGUUCUUCGAGAUCCAGCAAAUCACGCAAGAGGUCGCCUCGGACUCCAACAAGGCUUCGACCUUGGGAGCCUUCAAGCCUACGGAGGACGCCAAGGUGAUCCAGUUUGACCCAGAGGACUCCAACAAGGUGGUGUGGAUCGGCACCGCGCUGUCUACCAAAUAGGAAGACAAGCUUGUCGACUUCCUUCACGAAAAUUGGGACAUCUUCGCAUGGAAGCCCUCUGACAUGCCGGGUAUCCUGAGGAAAGUCGUUGAGCACACCCUUGACAUUAGGCCAGACGCCUGACCCGUGAAGCAGCGCCUGCGCCGCUUCGACAACGAGAAGCGGAAGGCUAUUGGCGAAGAGAUCGCUUGGCUCUUAACAGCUGGGUUUAUCAAAGAGGUCUUCCACCUUGAGUAGCUGGCCAACCCCAUGCUAGUGAAGAAGAAUGGCUCAUGGUGCAUGUAUGUGGACUACACAAGCCUAAACAAGGUGUGCCCCAAGGUACCAUACUUAUUGCCUCGCAUCAACCAGGUGGUCGACUCGACUACUGGGUGUGAGGUCCUUUGCUUCCUCGACGCAUACUCAAGCUACCACCAGAUCGCGAUGAAGGAAUCACACCAGCUGACGACCUCUUUCAUCACUCCGUUUGGCGUGUACUUUUAUGUCACGAUGCUGUCGGGCUCAAGAACACGGGCUCCACGUACCAUAGGUGCAUAAACCACUGCCUCGACCACCUGGUCAGGGAUAUAGUGGAGGUCUACAUUGAUGACAUCAUCGUCAAAUCCCGCAAGACUGAGCAGCUCAUCACCAACCUAAGAGACACAUUUGAGUGCCUCCGCCACUACAACAUCAAACUCAACCUGGAGAAAUGUGCCUUCGAGGUGCCCAAGGGCAAGCUCUUGGGCUUCAUCGUUUCCGAGCGUGGCAUCGAGGCUAACCCGGAGAAGAUCGCCACCAUCAGAAACUUGGGGCCGAUCACCAAUCUCAAGGGCACUCAGAAGCUAAUAGGAUGCCUGGCCUCCUUGAGUCGCUUCAUGCAGCGGCUCGGAGAGCGUGGCAUGCCUCUAUACAAGCUCUUGAAGAAAUUCGUCCAGUUCCACUGGAACAAAGAGGCGCAAGAGGCCUUCACCAAGCUCCAAGCCUCUUUUGCCUCACCUCCGACCUUGGUCUCGCCGACCCUAGAAGAGCCCCUGCUGCUCUACAUUGCCGCGACCACACAAGUGGUCAGCGCGACGCUCAUCGUGGAGCGCGAGGAGCCUGAGCACGCCCUCAAUGUGCAGAGGUCGGUAUACUUCAUCCGCGAAGUACUAUCCUACAUGAAGGUACACUACCCUCAAAUCCAAAAGAUGAUUUCCUCCACCUUGAUUUCGAAGCAGAAACUCCUCCACUACUUUGAGAGACACCCGAUCAUGGUGGUAGCGUCGGCACCACUCGGGGGAAUCAUCCAGAUUCGUGACGCCUCUGGUCGCAUAGCCAAAUGGGCAAUAGAGCUCAUGAGCUACCAGAUCAUCUAUGUGCCAAGGAAUGCGAUCAAGUCGCAGGUCCUUGCCAACUUCAUCGCAGAAUGGACAAAGACCUAGACCCUACCAUCCCCGACCAGUCAUGAGUACUGGGCGAUGUACUUUGAUGGGUCGAUCAUGGUGGGAAGCGUAGGGGCUCGUGCUGUGCUCACCUCCCCAAAGGGCGAUCGCCUCGAGUAUGCGAUCUGCCUCCACUUCCCUGCCACUAACAACAUGGUGGAAUACGAGGCCCUCAUCCGAUCCAUGGCCUCAAGAUCGCCUCCGAGCUAGACACUCGCUGCAUCUACAUCAGGGGUGACUCGGAGCUGGUCGUCGACCAGGUCAUGAAAGAAGCCUUGUGUCCCGAUUAGAAGAUGAUCACCUACUACAACGAGGUGUGAAAGCUUGAGGAGAAGUUCGACGACCUCAAGCUUCACCAUGUCCUCAGCCAUGAUAACCUCACCACCGAUUUCUUAGCGAAGCUCGUGUCGAACCGCGAGCAUGCCCUGCUAGGAGUCUUCGACAACGAUGCCCACGAGCUGUUGAUCAAGCUCGCCAAGGCACCCACCCCUGCGCUCGAUGCAAGCCACCCCGAGCCGGCAGCGGAGCUAGCCGCAGGGGCCAAGAUGGGCGCCCCCAACCUCAAGGUCGUGGCGCUUGAGCCAAGCUGGACCAUGCCCUUCCUCAACUACCUAUUGCGGGACACCCUCCCCACAGACGCCAAUAAGGCGCGCCGCCUCGUGAGACACAUGAAGGCCUCUAUGGUCGACUGGGAGGAGCUCUACAAGUGUAGCCCAUCAGGUAUCCUCCAAAAGUCCAUUCCCACUGACCAGGGGCGGGAGCUACUUCUGAAGAAACAUGUUGGCAUCUGCGGCUACCACGCGGCCCCGAGUUCCGAUAAGGCUUCUACUGGCCCAUGGUGGUGGCAGACGCCCAGCAGAUCAUUUGCUCCUGCGAAGGGUGCCAAUACUACAUGCGGCCGACGCACGUGCCGGCUCAAGAGCUGCAGACCAUCCUGAUCAUAUGGCCCUUUGCAGUGUGGGGCCUUGACCUGGUCGGGCCCUUCAAAAGAGUGCCUGGGGACUACACCCACCUCCUCAUAGCGGCAGACAAAUUCACCAAAUGGAUCAAGGCGAAGCCCAUCACCAAGGUCACAUCGGCAGCCACGGUUGAGUUCUUCCUCAACAUCAUCUACAGCGGGCCCGAACUCCAUCAUCACUGACAACGACACGCAGUUCAUGAGAAGGAAAUUCCUGCGCUUCUACGAUGAAUACCACAUCAGGGUCGACUUGGCCUUAGUGUCCUACCCACGCACCAACGGGCAGGUCAAGCGGACUAAUGGCAUGGUCUUGCAAGGCCUCAAGCCUCGCAUCUUCGAUGGGCUCAAGAAGUUCGCGGGGCGGUGGACACGUGAGGUACCCGCAGUGCUCUGGAGCCUAAGGAUGACCCCAAAUAGGUCCACGGGUUUCACACCCUUCUUUGUGGUAUACGGUGCGGAGGCUGCCCUCCCCACCAACCUCGACUACGGGGCGCCACGUGUCAAAGCGUACGAUGAGUCAAGGUCGGAGGAGGCCCGCCAGGAUGCGCUUGACCAGCUCGACGAGACGCGAGAUGUGGUGCUCCUCCAAUCUGCCAAGUACCAACAAGCCCUCCGACGCUACCACAGCAUGAACGUACGAGGCUGUGCCUUCUAGGUCAUAGAGCUGGUCCUCCGAAGGGUCCAGACAUCCCAUGGCAAGCACAAGCUCACGCCACCAUGGGCUCCUGGAACAUCAAGUAGCUACGUCGCUUUAACCCUUAGAUUUGUUAUUUAAGUUUGUACAAAUAGUUCGCACCAUGCAAUCAAAAGAAGCGUCAUGCUCGAUUAAGUUUGCGAUUUUCUUUUUAACUCUCCUUACCGAGCACUUCACGCCAUCCAAUGAGGGCAAUCGGUGCGACCUGCUCGUGGGGCCUACUUGCAUGCAUAUCCAUUCUUAGGCUCUACCUGUGAACACCUCCACGACCCCAACCCGCGUCACUCGACCGACCAUGGCAAAACAAAGUCUUCUGCGGCCUAGCUCCCGGAUUUCGUUGCGUAGGGAAAAGUGGCAAAGGCAAAGCAUGUACAAAAAAGGAACCAAAUUUUGAAGAAAAUUUGCGACCUAAACACACCAAGUUCAUUACAGGCCCGUGUGCCCGAUGCCAAAACAAAAAAGAAACCUAAUCUACCCCACAGGGGCUUCGGGAAGGGCUUCGCCUCGAAUCACAGCUGGCGAGAUCUGCCUGACUAGCUGUUGCAUGCCAAGGGCCACCAUCUUCGCGUGCUGUGUCAGCUCCUCGGAAGUACAGUUCCUCGCGUAGCCGCUCCCAAUGGCAGCAAAGUCCACGUCGUCGUAGUGCGUGGCCCAAGGUGAAGGUCGUGGGGCACCGUGGUAGAGCGCUUCUGCAAUUAGGUCAUCCACCCAACAACAGGCAGCCCCGAGCCGCUCCGCAAGUGGGCCCUCUAGGGCUACACCCAUGGAUAGGUAGGCCCACAGCACCUCCGACACGCCUCGGAGCACCUCAUGCUCCCCGGCCACCUCCUGCAAGCGGUUGCCGGUCAUUGCCCGCUGCUCGGUGACUGUGGCGAGCUCGACGUGUAGACCUACAUCAGCAACCACUCGAGUCAAGACCGGCAUAAAACCAACAAGCCCAUAAAGAUAACCACGACAGGAGAAGGUAAGAGUGUACCAUUGCAGGACUUCUGGAGGGUUUGGGCCUUGACGUCGAUGGCCUGGCGUGCCUGCUCGGCUGCAGUGCACACAUUCUCCGCCCCUUGCGUGGCACGCUCCAGUGCUGCCAUGCGCGUCUCCAUCUCCUUGGCUUGGCGAACGUGCUUGGUUGCUAGCUUCACUUCCUGGGAGGCGCGCUCCUGCACCUCCUUCCCCGCGGCCUUGGCUACCGAAGCCAUCUCAAUGGCAACAAGGAGGGCACGCUGCUUCGACUCCCGUGCCACCUCCGCCUCUGACUUGGCCACGUUGAUUUUUCCCAAAGCCGCUCCACCUCGGAGCGUACACCCAUCGACGCAUCCAGCUCCUCCUCCAGCCUCCGCCGAUCUUCGACCUCCUCCACCUGCGACUGAUACGCGACAGGUAGGAAUCGCGACUUCCUUGCAGAAGCAUCCAUUAGCUCCUAGACAAGGGGCACGCCACGACGGGAAACAAAACAUCAGAAGGCUGGAAGCACCCAGGGGAAAUCAAUCUCAAGCAAGGGGGAGGGGUUGGAUCUGAUUACUGGCCCGCGCGAAAGGACCUCGCCAUCAAUCGCCCCGAAGGCAUCGCUCACUGCCCCCAUGGUCGCGUAGAGCAAGUCUUGGGCCUUGGUGAGCUCGUUGCGCACCCGGCGCCCAUGCCCAAAUGUGCUCCCCCACGACACCAUUGCCUGGACGUCGUUGAGGGAGAACAACGCCUUGCUGGGUCGUCGGGAAUGCUCCCAGGUGAGCUUGGGGCCUCCGCCCACCACGGGCGCUGCCCCGACCAAUGCCUUCUGAAGUCGGGAGGAGUCAGGCGCGACCACCUCAGGCGGCACAGUCCACUCAGAUGUCACCUCCCUACUUCCAUCAUUGGCGGACACUUCUGAGGACGAGGAGGCCACUAGGAUCACCACCUCCGAGGCCACUGCCCCGGCUGCCCAAGCCUCUGCGGCCGCCGAGCUCUUGCCUUCCCCCUCUAAAGGAGUGGCGAAGGGCAGCGAGCCGAUCGGUGGCGGAGGAGGGUAGGCCACCAUGACGAGCGAGGCGACUGCUGGAGCGACUGAAGCUGUCGGCGUCGCCACACCAGUCCCCUCGCCGGUGGCCGGCGAUAGCCGGAAGAUCGGCCCCACAAAGCCCACCGACGUGGGCGACAAUGCGAGAUCAGGAAUGAACUCCCUGUAACACGAAGCCGUAGAUCAGCUGAGAAUUCAUACAAAAGCAUGAAGCGGGCAUGUGGCCUCAACUCAAAAAGGUUUGACCAAAAGUUAAUCCCUAUACCUAUCAGAUCGUCACAGAGGGAGGGGCGUCGUUCAAAGCUGCAAGGCCGGCAGCCCUAGCUGAGGGCAAGGUGGCAGCGACGGCAGGGCUGGGAUGUCCCGGGCUACGACAUCGCCUCAGGGGACACCCUCGGGGAUAUAACGCGCCGCCACCCAACCUACCGAAGGCUAGGAAGCCACGGUGGCAUCCUUAGACUCCUGCAGAGGUGGGGCCAUCGCCGAGCUCCUGCUAGCUCCAGGAGCCUCGUUCGAGCCCCCACCCGCUGAGGAUGCACUUUCCGUGAUCGGUUGGCGGUCACCACCCUCUGAGCCCGACCUGCCAUCGGGAGAAGGGAGGGACACCAACCUCCAUGCCGUGCUGGGCAGAGCGUCGGGCGGCGGUGGCAGCAUCUGCUCGGUGGCUCCCGAAUCGCGACCAUGGCCGGUGGGGAACCACAAUCUCCCGAAGUGAUGGCCAUCCGAGCGCUGGGAAGGCCGAUCGACUCCUUAGCUGGAGUGGGCUCAAGCAUGCUUCCUAUUCGUUUCAGCACCCAAGCUGUCGGCGGCCCGUUUCUAAGACGCACGGUCUUGUGCCCGGGCUGCGCUCCCCCUUCCUCCGCUCCAAUCCCGACCUCCCCAUCAUCAAAGGUCAGGGGCAUGGGGUUAGGAAGGCCAACCUGAAGACCAUGAGAAGGCUUUGGGUCAGAUGGGAAGUCGAGGACGGGUGCGUCCUCGCUCUCAUCCUCGUCCUCGUCCUCCUCCUCCUCAUCCUCAUUCGACAGCAACCUUGAGUUGUGGCACCUCAUGCUCUCGCGAAUUUUCUCCUCCCAAGCAUGAACGUCCCUGUCACGUUUGCGCCGCCGCUCUUGAGCAGCAUGGAGUUCGACGGCGGCCCGUUCGGCAUCCCCGGGGUUACCGUCCGGGUUGUGAAACCUGGACACUGGCCGCCCGAGCCCCUGCGCACCAACAACAGCUCGAGCCUCCAUGCGCUCGCAAGAAAAUAUGGGGAAUGGAAAGAGAAGAGUUCAGAAACUCACUAGGAAAAGAGGGAAAUCCCUCGAGAAGGCCCUCGGGUGCCCCAUUAGGGCCGAGGGCACCGGCUCUCGAAUGUCGAUUAGCUCCCGCGCCUAUGCUGAAAUCUCAUGGUUGGGGAGGCUUUUCGGGUGUUCCCGUGAGUUGUCCGUCACCCCGAAGUCAUCCGCUGCUCGAUGAAGGUCCAAACGACCCCCACACAAUUCACACUGGCUCAUGCCUGCCCCUCCAACACCUCGAUGAUUUGGUCGACCUUCUUCUUGUGCUUAUCCGGGCAGCCCUACCUCCACGACUCCCACCAUACAGGGCGCCCGCCGGUGAAUGUUGACAAAUUUCCGAUGCCCUCUUCAAAGUCGUUGUCGUCGUCACCGAUGUAGAACCAAUCGCCAUGCCAGCCCCAAUUGGAGUCAUACGCCUUGAUCUUUGAGUACUUGUCCUCGUACCCGAGGUGCAUCUAGAUGGAGGCGCCGCCAAGCGGCGCGAGCUCGUCAUCACCAGAGCUCAUCUUCCGCUACCGAACCUCAAACAUCCGAUGGAAGAGCGAAGCAUGGGGAGUGAUGCCGAGGAAUCCCUCGCACACCGUCAUGAAGCCAGCAAGCUUUAGCAACACAUUGGGGUUGAAAUGUUGUAGCUCAGUCCCGAGCUCGUGAAGGAAGCCCCGGAGGAAGGGGUACGCCGGUAGCCCGAAACCCCAGGGGUGGAACUCGAGGAAGGAGAUGGUCUCCCCAGGCUUGGGUGGCGAGAACUGCUCCCCGCGGCGAUGCGACACCCAUCCUCCUCCUUCAAUGGGAGGCAGCCCGCAGUGACCAAGUCUUGCAGUUUCACCUCCAUCACCACCGAAGGAACCCACGAACCCAUCGUUGGGGAAGAAGCAAAGGUGGCGGCGCUGGUUGACAGGAGGGAAUGCAUGCGAGCGGACUGCGGGACUCACCAGGUCACUCCCACAACUCCUCUCUCUCCUUUUUUCUCUCUCUCUUUUGCUCUCUUAGCUGCUCGAGCACGGCUACUAGGCACUGACCAGAGGAAGGACAGGUGAGAGGAAGAGUGGAGAGGAGAGGCGGUAGAUUUAAGAGCGUAUCCCUAGGGAGGCCAACCGCCCCCUUCGAGCAACUACACGAGGUGGUGGGCCCAGCCCCUACAGCGGUGCUGGAAACGUGCACAUCAAAAGCACGACGUGCGCGCGUGGCUUGCACCGUCAAGGCGUGACAGGAGGUGACGGGGCGAGUGCCAGGUAGCACCUCAGCUUCCGUGUGAUGACCCUUCAGCUGCUCCGCCCUGGUGGUUGGGCCAAGCCUAAGCAGCAGGCCAGGAUACGAAGGCCGGCCCAACGAACAGGCUCGCGGCCAUCAUCAGGCCCAACUCAACCUAGAGCUUGGGACGGAUGGACUGAGCGAGUCCUAGCGACUAUGAGUCGGGACGCCAUGUGGCCCACGACCUCCUCCUAAGGUUGAAAAUGGAUGGGUAAAAUCCCAUCCUAACCUGCCCUGUUUUCCACAUCUAACCCACCCAUUUUCAUUUUUCUGGAAAAAUCCGAGUUCGGGACGGGUCACGGGUUGACGGGCUGCGAGAUCGGGAUGGAAACAGGGGAGGCUCCAUCCCGGUCGGAUUCCUUGGGUCUCGUAUUUGAUCGGGAUGGACUCGGAUUUAACCCAAAUUUGACAAAGAUAUGCAGCCCUUCAGCUAACUAUAGCCUAACAGCUGAGGUCCGAUAUUAACCCUAACCUUAUCCUUCACCCACACGACCGCGCCGCCCUCAGUCGCCCUCACCCGCGCCGCACAGCUGCCUCACACUCUCGCUUAAAUCUCAUCGGCUCUUGCCUUCCAGCCUGCCCGGUGGCCGCCUCGCGCCCCCACCGGCAUCGACACGCCGUCGGCUACUCGGCUCCAGCACGUGCCGCCGUCUCCCACAUGCGCUACCACCUGAUAAGAUGUCACGCUCUGGAACUGGAGCUGGAGAAGGAGCACGCCGUUUCGGCUUCAUCUCCAUGCCCCUGGAGAAGCACCUGGGUUUGGGAAGCAUGUUGCCACUGCCACCCCGCAGCUGCAGCGACCACCGACCACCACCUUCUGUCAAAGGCAGCACCAGCGGCUUCAUUUAAGGUACAUCGUAGGCAGUAGCAGUCUAGCAGAGUAUAAUUAGCAAUUAGUAGUAGCAUAUUAGCAGACUAGCAGUAGCAAUUAGCAGCAGCAGACUACUUAGUACAAUGUAACUUGAAGUCUCAUUCAUUAUUCAGUAGCAUGAAUAAAGAUGGUGAGCUGUGAAGAAAUCUUGCAAUUUGUGUAACUUGAAGUCUCAUUCGUUAUUCAGUAGCAUGAAUAAAGAUGGUGAGCUAUGAAGAAAUCUUGCAAUUUGUCGAUGUCAUGGUGAAAUGGUGUUUGAAUGUUUGAUGACCUUCAGUUUUUAGAAUUUGUGUCAUUCUAUGAACUGUAUGUCUGUGUGACUGUGUUAUUGUGUCUGAAUUGUAUGCCUGUGGACUUGUUGAAUUGAGACAUCUGUGCUAUGUGGACUUAUUUAUGAAGUUGUGGUCUUAUGAACAUACGAUUGUUUUGCUGUUGGGUGUUGGCUCUUGGCUAUUGGCCUGUUGCUCACUUGUUGUUGGCCUGUUGCCUGAAUGCCUGUUGCUGUGCUGGUCUCGUGACUUGUGAGAUACAGUCACAGUCUCAUAGACACAGGCACACAGUGCAUGCACUGAUGCACAGCAGCACGCCAGCACACGCGCAGCAACACCAUGGCAACAAUAGUACUUUUGUGCCGUGCGUGUCUAACUAUGGUUAGUGUGGUCUGUGUGUCCCAACUAAAGUUCCCAGUUCCUGUCCGUUUCCGUCGAGUUUCUAGCCGUAUUGGUUCAUUUCCGUACACCCGUAUAACCUGCUCCCGUUUCCGCUCCCGGCUAUCCCGCUCCCGCUCCCGAUGAUGAAGUGCGGGAGCGAAAAUGAGAGAAGGGUUUUCCUACCCAUUUCUGUCUAUUUUCAUCGCUAUCUCCUCCCACCAUAUCUGAGUCUUGAUGAAAAGUUCGCUCUGGGUAUUCCCCAUGAGGGAAGGCAAUGAGCCCUCUGACCUCGCACACAGGAGGUCGGGGACCAAACGGGCGGACCACCAGGAUUAAUGGCAUGUCUCCCAGUGAGACAAAGCCAAACUUUCCUCAAUCAGAAAGGCGAUUGGGUCCCACUCAGAUUGCCCAGCGACACUCGAACGAGUGCACUUGCUCGAUCAGCCUGGUAGGCAAGGAUCCGCUCCCCGCGAAGGGGCUGCAUGGGGCACGAGCCCGACCACAUGAGCGCACUCCCCUGGGAGCAGCGCACCCAGGGGCUCGAAGCGAUCAGCCCCCAAGACCAAGCAAGCCGUUCACAACAUGCAGCGGGGAUAAAAUUUAUUAUUCCAUGGAACAAACAUUACAAGAAGGGCAUCAGAUACAAAAAAACGCUAGUGUUGCCGAGCAAAGAAACACCUGGGGCCCAUGAGGAGUGUUGCUAUGAGGGCGGCAUGAAGUGGCAGAUGCUCACAUCGCUGAGUUUCUUGUAGCAUCAGCACCUUGAGGGCCGCCUGUGCGGAGGUGGUAUCGAGGACGAGAGCACUUUCAGCUCUAGCAAGCAAUGCCACCAUCUCCCUGGCAAGAGAGCAAACUACGGACGCACUCAAAGCCUCCUAUCGGAGACAAAAGGGGGUCGUAGUUGUACCCAACAGGCUCAAGAGCAGCGUCAUGGUGGCCUUUGUUGAGCUCGCGGGUUCGCCGAGGAUUCGAACGGGAGCAUCGGAGCUCCCAAGUGAUCCCAGAGAAACCCAGUGGUUGUUUUUGCCUAUUAUCGGUUCCUCCCGCCGGAUCCGCGAGGAUCUUGGAGUAGGAUCAGUAACACGAAUGGAGGUGCCUUAGACCCCUUGUGGUACGCCCAGCCGCUCGCUGAGAUUCUUCUAGCAUCAAGGGCAGGCUGCACGGCAGCCAACCCGGAAGACUUGGAGACACCCUCUCGGAGGCCUCAUCCCUCUACCCGCACAUGGAAGCAUUUUGGGAAGUGAAGCCUGGAGCCCCAAGCAGCACAUGACGUAGGCUUUAUAGCCCGAGCGCAGAGCUAAGCCGCGCGACACCGCGAGGUUCAAAGAGGGGUGCCCGCCAGGCAAGGACGUCGCGAGCCCCGAUGCACUGGCAAACCCACGUGAACUACAGGAUGAAAUGAUGCCCUGAGCAGGACCUCGGGAUUCUGCAUUGCGCAAGGCAUCGGGUGGACCGGUCUCGGUUGCGCAUCGGCGUGCAACCACGAAGAAACCAGAAGGUCAGAAAGGGUCUCAUAACAACGUCUAAACGGUGGCAAGGGAUGGGCAACGCUCGCAUUAAAAGCGUUCUGAGCGAAUCUUCGAUUCCCUCAGAAGCUCGAGGGCUAGACCUAGUGGGUUCGCUCGCGAGAACCCACAGGACGCCUUAGCCAUCGAACGGCAUGCAAAAAGGGCGAAGGAGCCUUCCCCCGACCGCAAGGUCGGAAGAAGCCUCGAGGGCUACUGACGGGUUCGUGUAUCAAGCGUAGGAAAUGGGCUUAGGGCGAUAUGGCACCAAAAGGUCAAAUUCCCAACAGUUGGAAGCAUCCUGAAAACGGCCCAGACGACAUUGCGGCCCACCACCCGAUCUCCUUUGGUCGGAAGCCAAGAGCCAUGACUCGCCGGCACAACCAGCUCGGGGGCAGGGCCUGCAAGGGACCCACAGCUCCUCACCAGCUCCUUGACUCAUGAAUACCUGCGCCGUAUGAGAGGCAUUAAAUGACGGAGACAUGACCGGGCGAAGGGAGCCGACCUUUAACUAGGAGGUCCAAGGGUGAGGCUACACCCUUCGGACCACCCAAGACGGCUUGCAGGAUGAGGCCACGCGCGGCCGUACUCAUCCACAUGCCCCGACAUCAUCAUCCUCGCUGUCAAGGAGACCCGUCAAGAUCAAGGCCAUGCCAUCGCGCCAAACCCAGUAUGGUCCCGCAGGCGAGGUGGGACCCAGCGAUAGACAUCACGGUGAGGAGCAGCCGUGAGCGCACUAAAGAGGUCGGGGAAAGCUGGGACGAGUGGCACACCCCGCCCAGGCCACUAAUCAAGGCUCGCCCAUUCAUUAGCAGUACGGACGACAGCAACAGCACCCGUCCCGUUCACCGCCACGGAGUUGGCGGACGGGUCGGGAGCACGCCAUGGAGCAGGCCGAGCCUUGCAUGAGUAGCCCAUGCUGCAUAGGUGUACCUGUACAAGACAUGCGAGACCCAAGACUAGCCAGACAGGGAAGCCUCUUAGUGCAAGGAAGACCCGACCACGCCGCAACCCCCGACCUCUGAAGUCGGGACCCCCUCCAUUUCUCAACGUUGUUGCCCGGUCCCUAGCCUAUAUAAAGAGAACCGGGCCUCCAUUCACACUCUCUCGAAUUCAACACAUACACCCACACAUCGCACGAACGCUUGCUUGCAAGCACCCCAUUGUAAGUCGAGUGCACUUGAUCCAAGGAACACGACUCUUGCCGAAACUGGACGUAUGGAUCUUCCCGAACCACUAUAACUCCUUGUCUCUUGUGUGCUAGGCAUCGGAAGUGAGGAGAGCACGGCGUACAAUCACUAGUCGGUGGAAUGAAACACCGACACUGAGCUACCCAGCAUUGCUAAUAUUAUUAUUUGGAAAUGCAGAAGAAGGUUAAACAUCUGUCCCUUGCAUUGAUUGUUUGUCGUAGACUUCCAUUCUAGAUAACAUCUACUGUAUUAAACUACACUAGAAAACUUAUUUCAUAAUAGAUCCAAAAGGCGUAACUUACAAAUUACAAAUAUUAAUGGUCAACCUUACACUAAUCGGGACUUACAACUACUUGUCACUGUUAAUUUUAUCAUAAUAUAACUACUAAUUAAUAAUAAAAUAUGUUACUAAUGAUUAAUCAUAUAGUAGAAUCAACCUUAUCAAUUAUAUAAUCAACACAAUAGCACUUCUCAACCUUAAUCUCACAACCAUUUUGUAGAUGCUAAUAUUCGUCAUGUGGGCAUAUGUUGGUUCAGGACUUCAGGUUGAGAUUCCAAUUGACACUGCCAAAGCAACAAGGGAUUUUGACUUCUGAUUUGAAAAUUGAAUUGUAUGAACCCACACAGUUGUUUCUAAUUUUUAAAUCUGACUUGUUACAAUUGCAAUGCAAAAAGUUACUAAUGAUUAUUCAUAUAGUACAAAUCAACCUUAUCGAUUAUAUAACCAACACAAUAGCACUUCUCAACCAUAAUCUCACAACAACUUUGUAAAUGCUAAAAUUGAUCAUGUGGGCAUAUGUUGGUUCAGGACUUCAAGUUGAGAUUCCAAUUGAAACUGCUAAAGCAACAAGGGAUUUUGACUCUGAUUUGAAAAUUGAAUUUUAUGAACCCUCACAGUUGUUUCUAAUUUUAUAAUCUGAGUUGUUGCAAUUGCAAUGCAAAAAGUUGACAGACAGAGUCGCCUUAACUCCAACCACGACCUAAAACCCCAGACCAUCCAUCCAACGGCAGAGCACCCCUGCCCCGCUGAACCAACGGUGCGAUGGGACACCGCGCCCCUUCCUUCCUCCAGUCCAGUAUAAAUUUAUCCAAGCCCUAGCGCUAAAACCCUUGCGGCCGCUACCUCCCUUUUCCCCACCCGCCCCCUCUCGUCUCCCCGGCCGCCGCAGGCGAAGCCCCUAUUCGCCUCGUCCUCUCCACCGCCGAAUCCCCCCAGGUUUGACGGAUUCCGGCAUCUCAGCAGCCAUGCUUUUCUCGGUCUGAUUUGGUUCGGUGGGCGUGCGUUGGAUGCAGGUUUCGGCUGAGAUAGUCGCAGGUUACUGAUUCUAGGAGGAUAUGUUGGUGCUAUUCGAGACCCCCGCGGGGUUCGCCCUCUUCAAGGUGCUCGACGAGGGGAAGCUCGACAAGGUCGAGGUGUGUGGUCGGUGCUUCAAAUUUCUAAUUCCGGUUUUAAUUGGGUUUGCUAAGUUUGCUCUGCUCCGCGCUUGGUUAUUGAACUAACAGUGUUCUGUCUUCUAUUUGUGCUUGUAGGAUCUAUGGAAGGAGUUCACGACAUCCGACUCGGCGAGAAGGGUUAGUGAUUCUGUUAUUAACAUUCAAAGGGCAAACGAGUUUUCCUUUUAUCAAGGCACAUUAUGACAUUGUGCCCUUGUCUUUUUAAAGUAUUGAUGUCAAUGUAACUCUUUUACCCUGGCGGAAUACUAGAUUUCGCCAUUACAAAUAUGGGUAGCUAGCUGAAUAUGUUCCACAAUGUGUUUUUUUGUAAGCUACUCCCUCUGUUCUUAAAUACAUGUCGUUCUGACUGGAGGAUUUUGCCUGGAGUUAGUUCAGUCAUUUUGUCGGAAUCGACAAGUUAUUGAGACUGGAGGGAGUAUUUUGAACAUAUCAACUUUAAGCCGCAAAGUGCCUAGAGAAUACUAUUUCCUCAAGGAACUACUAUUUCCUGCUGAUACAUGUUAUGUGCCUAUACUGGGUGAAGGUGGUAAUGAUGCAUAUCACCUCUAGAACAGACUCCCUAGAAGAUUGUUUUGUCUGUGCGUGUACCAACAUUAAACUGGUUUUGUUCAAAUGCAGAAUACUUAUUCAGCUUUUAUGGUAUUUAUGAUAUUGUCUCCCGUUAUAUUCUUUGUGUUUAUACAUCCAGUUUUCUUUUUCUGACUAGUAGUUAUGAACUUCUGUGUAGGUGGUUGAGCUUAAGGCUUUCAACAAGUUUGAGAACACAUCUGACGCUCUGUCUGCUGCGACCCUGAUUAUUGAUGGCAAGCCUAGCAAGGGUCUGCGCAAGUUCUUGCAGAAGCACUGUGAGGGUGAAACAUUAGCUGUUGCUGAUUCCAAGCUUGGAAAUGCUAUAAAGGAAAAGCUGGUCGGUGGUGUUCCUCGGUUUUUAAUUUGUUUGUAGAAUGACUGGCCCUCCUUACAGUAUUGUUGCGCUCAUGCAGAAAAUUGACUGCCUUCACAAUAGUGCUGUGAUGGAGCUGAUGAGAGGGCUGAGAAAUCAGCUCACUGAGCUUAUAACUGGGCUGGGUGCACAAGAACUUGGUCCGAUGAGCCUGGGACUGUCCCACAGCCUGUCUAGGUAUAAGCUGAAGUUCAGUCCUGAUAAGGUGAGUCCGAUAUGUGCUCACUUUCUGGCUUUUUUUAUUGCCCCAUCACUUGCUGCUUCACAUGAACAUGGAUACUGUAUCCGUGUGUUUUACUCUUUUGUUGCCCUUUGGUGCUAUAUCUUUGCACAUUCAGAACAUCUUUUGUGUUGGCUAGUUACGGUUGUUGUUUGUGAAUUACCCAUUUGGAAUCGUGUAAGUGAGAUGACCACCAUUGUUUUUGUUCCACAGGUUGAUACCAUGAUCAUUCAGGCCAUUGGCUUAUUGGAUGAUCUUGACAAAGAGCUUAACACUUAUGCUAUGAGGGUUCGUGAAUGGUAUGGUUGGCACUUUCCUGAGCUCACUAAAAUAGUCACAGAUAACAUACAGUAUGCAAAAGUUGUGAAGAUGAUGGGCGACAGAGCUAAUGCAGUCAACCUUGAUUUCUCUGAGGUAAAUGAGUGGACAUUUCUCAAUGUUAUUUACAUGCCUAUGAAGCAAACUGCUUAGUAAUAGCUCUGUUGUUCACAGAUACUGUCAGAUGAAGAGGUGGAAGCACAGAUAAAGGAGGCGGCAGUAAUAUCCAUGGGAACAGAAGUUAGCGACCUUGACUUGUUAAAUAUCAGAGAGCUAUGUGAUCAAGUGUUGGCUCUUUCUGAGUACAGAGCCCAGCUGUUUGACUAUUUAAAAAGCAGGAUGAACACUAUUGCUCCCAAUCUGACCGCACUGGUGGGUGAAUUAGUUGGUGCUCGCCUUAUUGCGCACGGUGGCAGUUUGGUAAAUUUAGCCAAGCAGCCUGGUAGCACAAUCCAGAUACUCGGUGCAGAGAAGGUGCGUACUAUUUGUGGAUGAUUUCGAAAACGGUUUUUCAUUCGUUGUUCUUUUUCUGUCUGUGAUCCUGCUCUUCUAAAUGUGCGUCGACAGCGUAUAUCAGUAAGACACACGAAAUUGUGCCCUCUUUUUUUGAUAUCCUAAUUCGUAGUGACAUCAAUCGGUGGCAUGAAUGAGAUUAUUUCUUUUUGUUGUCUGCUAGAAUUGGUUUCUCUACUAAGCAACUGAAAAUUGUAUUCUGUCCAGGCUUUAUUCAGAGCUCUAAAGACGAAGCAUGCUACACCUAAGUACGGCCUCAUCUACCAUGCAUCCUUAAUUGGCAAGGCAUCUCAAAAGCACAAGGGAAAGAUCUCUCGUUCUCUUGCUGCGAAAACUGCUCUUGCCAUACGGUGUGAUGCCCUUGGUGAUGGUGAGGACAACUCCAUUGGCACUGAGAGUCGACUCAAGGUAUCUGCACUGUCGAAAACAAUUUUAGUUUUUAUAAUACAAACAAUAGAUUGUCUUCUGACAUAAGUGAGAAUUGAACAGCUUGAGACACGGCUUCAAGUUCUGGAGAACAAAGAAUUUGGGAAAUCUGCUGGUUCCACAAAGGGAAAGCCUAAGAUAGAAGUGUAUGAAAAGGACCGGAAGAAGGGAGCUGGGGCUUUAAUUACUCCUGCUAAGGUAAGCUUUGUCAUGGUUCUGUUUCCUUGAAAAAUAUGAUAAGAAACCUUUUAUUUAACGGACAGUUGCUUACUCUUCACUGCCAUCUUGGUCAAUACAAUGGACUGUUCUAGUACUGGAUUGCUUUAUUGUUAGCGAAAAAGAUCCCAUUGGUGUAUCCUUACGUGAACACCUUUUUUGUUGCCAUUGUUUUUUUUUUUGGGGGGGGGGGGUGGUGUUUGAGUUCUAAAAGUCAUUUGACUGAUGUUUUGCUUUUGUUUUAGACAUACAACCCUGCCACUGAUGUCGUACUAGGACAAUCCACUGAAGAAACACCAAAGAAGUCAGAAUUGGCUUCAAAGAAGAGGAAACAUCAUGAGGCGGAGGCUGCACAGACAACAGAGCCUGCAGCGGAAGCAAUCCAGGAGGAUGGUGAUCAGGAGAGGAAGAAAAAGAAGAAGAAGAAGGACAAGGAAACCGAGGCGACUCCAGUGGCCGCUGCUGAUGGUGAGAAGAAAAAGAAAAGGAAGUCCAAGGAGAGCGAGGAGCCUGCUGUGGCUGCCGCCGAAGGCGAGAAGAAGAAGAAAAAGAAGAAAUCUGAUAUGGAUGGUGAGGAUGUUGUAAUGCAAAAUGAAGAUUCUGGUAAGAAAGACAAGAAGAAAAAGAAGAAGCACGCUGAUGAUGAGUGAGGCAUUCACUGGAGAAGGGAGAGCCAAGGUGCUCAAGGUUGG